UUGUUUCUGAUGUGAUUUUUUUUUGUUAGUCUAGAUUGGUUUCGGAGUGUUAAUACUUGUUGAAACAAAAUGGAUUAGCUUAAUAUGAUUUUUUUUUUAGUUUUUUACAUAUGUUAGGCUUAUCUAUUGUAUUUGAUUGUAUUUAUAGUUGUAUAGAGUGAAAAUUGUACAGGAGAAAACCAUGCUUCUACAAACAAUUCUUGUAUAGCCAUCGGAAAAUUAGCAUUCCAGGUAACACCAAUAUGUU
rnacentral:lncRNA from 1 species